rnacentral:lncRNA from 1 species
GGAGUGACUCUUGACAGCAGAGUACUCUGGAGUUAAUCACGUUCAGUGAAAUAUACUCCUACAUUUUACCGCAUGCCAUACCAGCGUCUUCACACUCCUUGAUUAAGAGGCCAACUAACCUAUAUGAUACACAACGAUCUACACUUGAUAUGUCUAUCAUUCUAGUAAUAACAUAUCAUUUGGUCACAAACUCAUUUAAGGACUAAAUGAUAAAUCCUCCUUUAUCGAUUUAAAAUAGUUCUAAGGACUUUCAUCAUAAUACAGAAGUUCGAUGAAGAAGAUGUACAAGCUUAUGAUGAAAAUUAUUAAAUAAAUAUUUUAUUAAUUAAUUCAUAUACAAUUAUAUUAAAUAGCACAACCAUUAACAGGCUGACGAUUAGCUUUGG